AUUGAACGCUGGCGGCAGGCCUAACACAUGCAAGUCGAGCGAGCGGGGGACGGGUGAGUAUAGUAUGGGAAACUGCCUGAUGGAGGGGGAUAACUACUGGAAACGGUAGCUAAUACCGCAUACCAUCAGAUGUGCCCAGGUGGGGGUAGCUAGUAGGUGGGGUAACGGCGCACCUAGGCGACGAUCCCUAGCUGGUCUGAGAGGAUGACAGGCCACACUGGAACUGAGACACGGUCCAGACUCCUACGGGAGGCAGCAGUGGGGAAUAUUGCACAAUGGGCGCAAGCCUGAUGCAGCCAUGCCGCGUGUGUGAAGAAGGCCUUCGGGUUGUAAAGCACUUUCAGCGGGGAGGCGUUACCCGCAGAAGAAGCACCGGCUAACUCCGUGCCAGCAGCCGCGGUAAUAC
rnacentral:rRNA from 1 species